UACGUAGGGUGCAAGCGUUGUCCGGAAUUAUUGGGCGUAAAGAGCUCGUAGGCGGCUUGUCACGUCGGGUGUGAAAGCCCGGGGCUUAACCCCGGGUCUGCAUUCGAUACGGGCAGGCUAGAGUGUGGUAGGGGAGAUCGGAAUUCCUGGUGGUAGCGGUGAAAUGCGCAGAUAUCAGGAGGAACACCGGUGGCGAAGGCGGAUCUCUGGGCCAUUACUGACGCUGAGGAGCGAAAGCGGUGGGAGCGAACAGG
rnacentral:rRNA from 1 species